rnacentral:rRNA from 1 species
UAAAGUUCGUCUGCUCAGGGUUAGUCGGGACCUAAGGCGAGGCCGAAAGGCGUAGUCGAUGGCCAACAGGUUGAUAUUCCUGUACCACGUCGAGAUCGUUUGACCGAUGGGGGGACGAGGAAGGCUAUGGGAUCCCAGGCGAUGGUUGCCCUGGGGUAAGCGUGUAGGGUGGGACCUAGGCAAAUCCGGGUCCCUUUAACCUGAGGCGCGAUGCCAGCUGGCCCAAGGGCCGGCGAGUCCCGGACGCCAUGCCUCCAAGAAAAGCCUCUAGGGAGAACUCGCGUGCCUGUACCAAAACCGACACAGGUGGGCAAGUAGAGAAUACUAAGGUGAUCGAGAUAACCCUCGUUAAGGAACUCGGCAAAAUUGCCCCGUAACUUCGGGAGAAGGGGCGCCCCAGUAGGGUGAAGCGGCUUGCCCGCAGAGCCCGAGGGGGCCGCAGUGAAUUGGUCCAAGCGACUGUUUACCAAAAACACAGGUCUCUGCUAAGUCGUAAGACGACGUAUAGGGGCUGACGCCUGCCCGGUGCCGGAAGGUUACGUGGAGCUGUUAGGUCUUCGGACCGAAGCAGCGAAGCUAAGCCCCGGUAAACGGCGGCCGUAACUAUAACGGUCCUAAGGUAGCGAAAUUCCUUGUCGGGUAAGUUCCGACCUGCACGAAUGGCGUAACGACUUGGGCGCUGUCUCAACGAGGGGCUCGGUGAAAUUGCAGUCUCGGUGAAGAUGCCGAGUACCCGCGGCUAGACGGAAAGACCCCGUGAACCUUUACUGCAACUUGAUAUUGGAGUCUGGGGUAUCUCGCUCAGGAUAGGUGGGAGACAGUGAACCAGUGGCUUUGGCCACUGGGGAGUCACCCUUGAGAUACCACCCUUGGUAGUCUGGGCUUCUAACACCGCGCCGUGAUCCGGGCGGUGAACAGUGUCAGGUGGGCAGUUUGACUGGGGCGGUCGCCUCCUAAAGAGUAACGGAGGCGCCCAAAGGUUCCCUCAGCACGGUUGGAAAUCGUGCGUAGAGUGUAAAGGCAAUAAGGGAGCUUGACUGCGAGACCGACGGGUCGAGCAGGAACGAAAGUUGGGCUUAGUGAUCCGGCGGUAGCAAGUGGAAGCGCCGUCGCUCAACGGAUAAAAGGUACUCCGGGGAUAACAGGCUUAUCGGGCCCAAGAGUCCACAUCGACGGCCCGGUUUGGCACCUCGAUGUCGGCUCGUCGCAUCCUGGGGCUGGAGUAGGUCCCAAG